rnacentral:rRNA from 1 species
UACGUAGGGUGCGAGCGUUAAUCGGAAUUACUGGGCGUAAAGCGUGCGCAGGCGGUUUUGUAAGCCAGAUGUGAAAUCCCCGGGCUCAACCUGGGAAUGGCAUUUGGGACUGCAAGGCUGGAGUGCGGCAGAGGAGACUGGAAUUCCUGGUGUAGCAGUGAAAUGCGUAGAUAUCAGGAGGAAUACCGAUGGCGAAGGCAGGUCUCUGGGCUGACACUGACGCUCAUGCACGAAAGGCGUGGGGAGCAAACGAGG